rnacentral:rRNA from 1 species
AUGACUAGGGAUAACCUUAGGAAGAGACACAUCAUCAAACCCCUUGAUUGUGUUUACUGCUUGGAACAAGAGUCUUGUUCUCACCUAUUUGAAUGUAUAGUUGCUAAACAUCUCUGGGCCCACAUUGAGGAAUAUUUCUCUAGUCAGAUUGGCUCAUCCUUCGAAUCUGUCGCCAGAUUCUGGAUUGCUACCAAAAAGUGCUCAGUUUUAAACACUAUUAGCCCAGCUAUCCUUUGGUGCCUCUGGAAAUAUAGAAAUGCUAUGAUUUUCAGUAACACCUCCUGGAUUUCCAUUCCGCAGGUCUUGAGGUUGAUCAGGAACAUGGUGAGGAACUGGGCGAUUCUCUCCUCCGGAUCGCACAAGGACAAGUUGACGAGCUUCGUGGAAACUCUAACAAGAUCCCUCCAGAAACCGUUGGCGAUCACUUGUGGCUGA